UACGAAGGGUGCAAACGUUGCUCGGAAUUAUUGGGCGUAAAGAGCUCGUAGGUGGUUCGAUAAGUCGGGUGUGAAACCUCCAGGCUCAACCUGGAGACGCCACCCGAUACUGUCGUGACUAGAGUCCAGUAGGGGAGCGUGGAAUUCCUGGUGUAGCGGUGAAAUGCGCAGAUAUCAGGAGGAACACCAGCGGCGAAGGCGGCGCUCUGGGCUGGCACUGACACUGAGGAGCGAAAGCGUGGGGAGCGAACAGG
rnacentral:rRNA from 1 species